GCUGGGUGCAGUGGCACACGCCUGUAAUCCCAGCCACUCAGGAGGUUGAGGUAGGAGGAUUGCAAGUUUGAGGUCAGUCCAGCAACUUAUGCCCUAAGCAACUUAGCAAGACCCUAUCUCAA
rnacentral:sRNA from 1 species